rnacentral:rRNA from 1 species
GAUCAUGGUUCAGGAUGAACGCUAGCUACAGGCUUAACACAUGCAAGUCGAGGGGAAACGACAUCGAAAGCUUGCUUUUGAUGGGCGUCGACCGGCGCACGGGUGAGUAACGCGUAUCCAACCUGCCCGUCACUUGGGAAUAACCUUGCGAAAGUAAGACUAAUACCCAAUGAUAUCCCACGAAGGCAUCCGAAUGGGAUUAAAGAUUUAUCGGUGAUGGAUGGGGAUGCGUCUGAUUAG